rnacentral:rRNA from 1 species
UACGGAAGAGGCAAGCGUUAUCCGGAAUUAUUGGGCGUAAAGCGGCCGUAGGUGGUUCACCAAGUCUGCUGUCAAAGGGUGGGGCUUAACCUCAUAAAGGCAGUGGAAACUGGUGAGCUAGAGUGCGGUAGGGGUAAGGGGAAUUGCCAGUGUAGCGGUGAAAUGCGUAGAGAUUGGGAAGAACAUCGGUGGCGAAAGCGCCUUACUGGGCCUGCACUGACACUGAGGGAAGAAAGCUAGGGGAGCGAAAGGG